rnacentral:tRNA from 1 species
AGCAGAGUGGCUUAGUGGAAAGAGCCCGGGCUUGGGAGUCGGAGGUCGUGAGUUCUAAUCUCGGCUCCUCUA